GGGGCUGUAGCUCAGUGGCAGAGCACUUGCCUAGCAGAGAGGCCCUGAGUUUAAUCCCCAGCACCCCCC
rnacentral:tRNA from 1 species